CCAGUCAGAGUCCUGACCUCAACCCGAUUUGAGAUGCUGUGGCCUGACCUCAAGAAAGCGAUUCACACCAGACAUCCCAAGAAUAUUGCUGAACUGAAACCGUUCUGUAAAGAGGAAUGGUCAAGAAUUACUCCUGACCGUUGUGCACGUCUGAUCUGCAACUACAGGAAACGUUUGGUUGAAGCUAUUGCUGCCAAAGGAGGUUCAACCAGUUAUUAAAUCCAAGGGUUCACAUACUUUUUCCACCUGCACUGUGAAUGUUUACAUGGUGUGUUCAAUAAAAACAUGG